rnacentral:rRNA from 1 species
GAAUUUUGGACAAUGGGCGAAAGCCUGAUCCAGCAACGCCGCGUGCAGGAGGAAGGCCUUCGGGUUGUAAACUGCCUUUGUACGGAACGAAAAGCUUUGGGUUAAUACCCUGGAGUCGUGACGGUACCGUAAGAAUAAGCACCGUCUAUCUACGUCCCAGCAGCCGCGGUAAUACGUAGGGUGCAAGCGUUAAGCGGAAUUACUGGGCGUAAAGCGUGCGCAGGCGGUUUUGUAAGUCAGAGGUGAAAUCCCCGGGCUCAACCUGGGAACUGCCUUUGUGACUGCAAGGCUAGAGUACGGCAGAGGGGGGUGGAAUUACGCUUGUAGCAGUGAAAUGCGUAGUUAUGCGGAGGAACACCGAUGGCGAAGGCAACCCCCUGGGCCUGUACUGACGCUCAUGCACGAAAGCGUGGGGGGCAAACA